rnacentral:rRNA from 1 species
AUUUUGACCGUAGCAAGGUAGCAUAAUCAUUUGCCUCUUAAAUAGAGGCUGGUAUGAAUGGCAAGACGGGGGUUAAGCUGUCUCUUUCUUAAUACUUGAAUUUUAUAUUUUUGUGAAGAAGCGGAAAUUAAUUCGUAGGACGAGAAGACCCUAUCGAGCUUUAGUGAUAUUAUUAGUGGUGUUUUAGUAUAAAUUUUCUAAUGUAAAUUGUUUAAUAUAAAAAAUUUAAUUUUUUAUACUUAAUCAUCUAAUAAGGUAACUUUGGUUGGGGCAACCACGGAGUAAAAAAAUCCUCCGUUGAAUAAAUUAAAAAAUUACUAUUUUAUAUAUGAAGUGAUCCGCUUAAUAGCGAGCAAAGGAAUAAGUUACCGUAGGGAUAACAGCGUAAUUUUUUUGGAGAGUUCAUAUUGAUAAAAAAGUUUGCGACCUCGAUGUUGGAUCAAGAUUUCCUAGAGAUGCAGCAGUUUCUAAGGGUUGGUCUGUUCG